rnacentral:rRNA from 1 species
GGGUUGUGAGGUUAAGCGACUAAGCGUACACGGUGGAUGCCCUGGCAGUCAGAGGCGAUGAAGGACGUGCUAAUCUGCGAAAAGCGUCGGUAAGGUGAUAUGAACCGUUAUAACCGGCGAUGUCCGAAUGGGGAAACCCAGUGCAAUUCGUUGCACUAUCGUUAACUGAAUACAUAGGUUAACGAGGCGAACCGGGGGAACUGAAACAUCUAAGUACCCCGAGGAAAAGAAAUCAACCGAGAUUCCCCCAGUAGCGGCGAGCGAACGGGGAGCAGCCCAGAGUCUGAAUCAGCUUGUGUGUUAGUGGAACGGUCUGGAAAGUCCGACGGUACAGGGUGAUAGUCCCGUACACCAAAAUGCACAGGUGUGAACUCGAAGAGUAGGGCGGGACACGUGGUAUCCUGUCUGAAUAUGGGGGACCAUCCUCCAAGGCUAAAUACUCCUGACUGACCGAUAGUGAACCAGUACCGUGAGGGAAAGGCGAAAAGAACCCCGGCGAGGGGAGUGAAAAAGAACCUGAAACCGUGUACGUACAAGCAGUGGGAGCACCUUCGGGUGUGACUGCGUACCUUUUGUAUAAUGGGUCAGCGACUUAUAUUCUGUAGCAAGGUUAACCGUAUAGGGGAGCCGCAGGGAAACCGAGUCUUAACUGGGCGUUAAGUUGCAGGGUAUAGACCCGAAACCCGGUGAUCUAGCCAUGGGCAGGUUGAAGGUUGGGUAACACUAACUGGAGGACCGAACCGACUAAUGUUGAAAAAUUAGCGGAUGACUUGUGGCUGGGGGUGAAAGGCCAAUCAAACCGGGAGAUAGCUGGUUCUCCCCGAAAGCUAUUUAGGUAGCGCCUCGUGAACUCAUCUUCGGGGGUAGAGCACUGUUUCGGCUAGGGGGUCAUCCCGACUUACCAACCCGAUGCAAACUACGAAUACCGAAGAAUGUUAUCACGGGAGACACACGGCGGGUGCUAACGUCCGUCGUGAAGAGGGAAACAACCCAGACCGCCAGCUAAGGUCCCAAAGUCAUGGUUAAGUGGGAAACGAUGUGGGAAGGCACAGACAGCCAGGAUGUUGGCUUAGAAGCAGCCAUCAUUUAAAGAAAGCGUAAUAGCUCACUGGUCGAGUCGGCCUGCGCGGAAGAUGUAACGGGGCUAAACCAUGCACCGAAGCUGCGGCAGCGACACUAUGUGUUGUUGGGUAGGGGAGCGUUCUGUAAGCCUGCGAAGGUGUGCUGUGAGGCAUGCUGGAGGUAUCAGAAGUGCGAAUGCUGACAUAAGUAACGAUAAAGCGGGUGAAAAGCCCGCUCGCCGGAAGACCAAGGGUUCCUGUCCAACGUUAAUCGGGGCAGGGUGAGUCGACCCCUAAGGCGAGGCCGAAAGGCGUAGUCGAUGGGAAACAGGUUAAUAUUCCUGUACUUGGUGUUACUGCGAAGGGGGGACGGAGAAGGCUAUGUUAGCCGGGCGACGGUUGUCCCGGUUUAAGCAUGUAGGCUGGUUAUCCAGGCAAAUCCGGAUAAUCAAGGCUGAGGUGUGAUGACGAGGCACUACGGUGCUGAAGUAACAAAUGCCCUGCUUCCAGGAAAAGCCUCUAAGCAUCAGGUAACAUCAAAUCGUACCCCAAACCGACACAGGUGGUCAGGUAGAGAAUACCAAGGCGCUUGAGAGAACUCGGGUGAAGGAACUAGGCAAAAUGGUGCCGUAACUUCGGGAGAAGGCACGCUGGUGUGUAGGUGAAGCCCCUGCGGGUGGAGCUGAGACCAGUCGAAGAUACCAGCUGGCUGCAACUGUUUAUUAAAAACACAGCACUGUGCAAACACGAAAGUGGACGUAUACGGUGUGACGCCUGCCCGGUGCCGGAAGGUUAAUUGAUGGGGUUAUCCGUAAGGAGAAGCUCUUGAUCGAAGCCCCGGUAAACGGCGGCCGUAACUAUAACGGUCCUAAGGUAGCGAAAUUCCUUGUCGGGUAAGUUCCGACCUGCACGAAUGGCGUAAUGAUGGCCAGGCUGUCUCCACCCGAGACUCAGUGAAAUUGAACUCGCUGUGAAGAUGCAGUGUACCCGCGGCAAGACGGAAAGACCCCGUGAACCUUUACUAUAGCUUGACACUGAACAUUGAGCCUUGAUGUGUAGGAUAGGUGGGAGGCUUUGAAGCGUGGACGCCAGUCUGCGUGGAGCCAACCUUGAAAUACCACCCUUUAAUGUUUGAUGUUCUAACGUUGGCCCCUGACCGGGGUUGCGGACAGUGUCUGGUGGGUAGUUUGACUGGGGCGGUCUCCUCCCAAAGCGUAACGGAGGAGCACGAAGGUUAGCUAAUCCUGGUCGGACAUCAGGAGGUUAGUGCAAUGGCAUAAGCUAGCUUGACUGCGAGCGUGACGGCGCGAGCAGGUGCGAAAGCAGGUCAUAGUGAUCCGGUGGUUCUGAAUGGAAGGGCCAUCGCUCAACGGAUAAAAGGUACUCCGGGGAUAACAGGCUGAUACCGCCCAAGAGUUCAUAUCGACGGCGGUGUUUGGCACCUCGAUGUCGGCUCAUCACAUCCUGGGGCUGAAGUAGGUCCCAAGGGUAUGGCUGUUCGCCAUUUAAAGUGGUACGCGAGCUGGGUUUAGAACGUCGUGAGACAGUUCGGUCCCUAUCUGCCGUGGGCGCUGGAGAAUUGAGGGGGGCUGCUCCUAGUACGAGAGGACCGGAGUGGACGCAUCACUGGUGUUCGGGUUGUCAUGCCAAUGGCACUGCCCGGUAGCUAAAUGCGGAAGAGAUAAGUGCUGAAAGCAUCUAAGCACGAAACUUGCCCCGAGAUGAGUUCUCCCUGAGACUUUAAGUCUCCUGAAGGAACGUUAAAGACGAUGACGUUGAUAGGCCGGGUGUGUAAGCGCAGCGAUGCGUUGAGCUAACCGGUACUAAUGAACCGUGAGGCUUAACCUUACAACGCCGAAG